rnacentral:lncRNA from 1 species
CCUUUCAAAAGGAAGAACAGCAAAGCAAUUGUUGCCUAAAGUCUUAGAGGGGAAGAGAGAUGCAGAAUUCACUGAUUCUUCACCUGGGCCCCCGAAUGUUCAGUGUGAUGCAUGCCCAGAGACAGUGUACUCCAGUUCUGGGGGGGACUGAAUUUAGGAUCUUUUACCAUCAUCUGGAGUGUCUUGAGGAGCAUUCCAUCCAGAAAAGGGGACUGUUUCCCUGGAACAAAAACUUGAGCAACCAUCAGAUAACACCCAUCAAAUGAACAGCCAGCUAGGUCACACCUGUGAUAGAGCAAUCCCUCUUAACAGCAAGGAAACCUUGGCCUGUUCCUUGUAGUCUUGGUAGCUGCAACUGGAAUUGGUAGGUGGAGACAGAAGAUGGCCAGGAAGCCACAGCAUGCUGCUUUCAGUGAAUGAUGAUAAACAGAGCCAGACCUCACAUUUUUACCUGGAAAAUCUGAUACCUCUUCCCCUCCUCCACUGUAAAAUUCUCCACAAAAAAAACAGAGGACAGAAAAUUGCAAGUUGUGAUUUAUAAUUGUCAAUAACAUUUGUGUCAUUUUGAUGCUCUAACUCUAUUACAGUAAUUGCUUUCCUCUCUACACUUUAUUUUAAGGUGAACAUUAAUUGAUUAUCAG